AGAGCGAACGCUGGCGGCAGGCUUAACACAUGCAAGUCGAGCGGGCGUAGCAAUACGUCAGCGGCAGACGGGUGAGUAACGCGUGGGAACAUACCUUUUGGUUCGGAACAACACAGGGAAACUUGUGCUAAUACCGGAUAAGCCCUUACGGGGAAAGAUUUAUCGCCGAAAGAUUGGCCCGCGUCUGAUUAGCUAGUUGGUGAGGUAACGGCUCACCAAGGCGACGAUCAGUAGCUGGUCUGAGAGGAUGAUCAGCCACAUUGGGACUGAGACACGGCCCAAAACUCCUACGGGAGGCAGCAGUGGGAAUAUUGGACAACGGGCGCAAGCCUGAUCCAGCCAUGCCGCGUGAGUGAUGAAGGCCCUAGGGUUGUAAAGCUCUUUUGUGCGGGAAGAUAAUGACGGUACCGCAAGAAUAAGCCCCGGACUAACUUCGUGCCAGCAGCCGC
rnacentral:rRNA from 1 species